AGGGGUGUAGCUCAGUAAUAGACAGCUUGCCUAACAAGCAUGAGGUUCUGAGUUCAAUCCUCAAUACUGCUA
rnacentral:tRNA from 1 species